GACGAACGCUGGCGGCGUGCUUAACACAUGCAAGUCGAACGGAAAGGCCCUGCUUUUGUCGGGUGCUCGAGUGGCGAACGGGUGAGUAACACGUGAGUAACCUGCCCUUGACUUUGGGAUAACUUCAGGAAACUGGGGCUAAUACCGGAUAGGAGCUCCUGCUGCAUGGUGGGGGUUGGAAAAUCUCGGCGGUUUGGGAUGGACUCGCGGCUUAUCAGCUUGUUGGUGGGGUAGUGGCUUACCAAGGCAUUGACGGGUAGCCGGCCUGAGAGGGUGACCGGGCACAGUGGGACUGAGAUACGGCCCAGACUCCUACGGGAGGCAGCAGUGGGGAAUAUUGCACAAUGGGCGGAAGCCUGAUGCAGCGACGCCGCGUGCGGGAUGACGGCCUUCGGGUUGUAAACCGCUUUCGGCUGUGACGAAGCGUAAGUGACGGUAAUGGGUAAAGAAGCACCGGCUAACUACGUG
rnacentral:rRNA from 1 species